GCCAGGCGUGGUGGUGUGCACCUGUAAUCCCAGCUACUUGGGAGGCUGAGGCAGGAGAAUCACUUGAACCCGGGAGACAGAGGUUGCAGUGAGCUGAGAUCACGCCACUGCACUCCAGCCUGGGUGACAGAGUGAGACUCUGUCUCGA
rnacentral:SRP_RNA from 1 species